rnacentral:rRNA from 1 species
UACGGAGGGUGCAAACGUUGCUCGGAAUCAUUGGGCGUAAAGCGCACGUAGGCGGCCUGAUAAGUCGGGUGUGAAAGCCCUGGGCUCAACCCAGGAAGUGCACUCGAAACUGUCAGGCUUGAAUAUGGAAGAGGGUCGCGGAAUUCCCGGUGUAGAGGUGAAAUUCGUAGAUAUCGGGAGGAACACCAGUGGCGAAGGCGGCGACCUGGGCCAAUAUUGACGCUGAACCACGAAAGCCAGGGUAGCGAACGGG